GGCGGCCGGCCACUCAACAAGACCUCGCCCCUGCACCUGACCGACAAGAAGCCCCGCAAGGGCGGCGGCGGCGGCGGUGGCGGCGGCUCGGGCCCGCCCCACGCCAGCCCCGGGAGCCAGCGCCUGGGGCCUACCUCACGCCCGCAGACCACGCCCGCCUCGGCGCGGAAACACAGCCCCGCUUCAGGUACGAAGAUAACCACCAGCCAUGGAUUUGCUGUCCUGCUCGUUGUUUACGGUGUGAUGAAAGGUGCUUUUCUAUAGUCCGGGCUGCCUCGGAACCCCAGUCCCUUUCUUCUUCUGGUCUCGAAGAGAAAGAGGGAAAGAAAUACCUGCUAGUCCCGUGGACAGGUCUGCGUAGGGUGACCUUUGACCCUCAGUACGUUUUUAAUGACACUUGUGAGAAGCAUCGUUUUCCGGGGGCAGGUUGUGCCAAGGAGUCACCGAUCACAAAAAUUUAAAGACCACAAGGCUCUUCAGUCACCGACUCCAGGAAAUGCAGUCCAGCUUUCACUAAGUGUGUUCUUUUUUUCCCCCCCCCCAAAAAAAACUUUUUGAACUUUUUUGUGUCAUUAACGUGAAGGUGUGAAAAAUCGACUAUACACACGCAUUAUAUUUAAUCAUAUACGCAUAAACGAACUGAGCUCAUUUGUACGAUGUAAUCAGCAAUCACAAAUUCCGAUCUGUGUUCCUGCCGAUGUACUCUAUGGUCAUUGCUUUAACCGCAUAUAUUUUUUUGCUUGAGUGAAUACUUGCCGAAAUAAAUGUAAAAUACUUCUGUCUUAAAAAAAGAGUAAUUUCUUUUUGUGUGUGUACAAGAGUAACUAAGUUAUAUACAUUGCUAUUUAAAAAAAAAAACCUGAAGUACAGGACAUAUUUUUGACUACAGAACCAUGUAAAAAUACAAAAAGCAUAACAAGAGUAUUCAGACCCUUGCAGGGAGUUUUUCGAUUAUUAUUUUUUUUUUUUAAUUAUACAUGUUCCCACCUUUUUACCUUCUUUCAUUGGUCUAAAUCUGUUGUCAGUCAUUUUGCUUGAUUGACAGGCAUGGCGGUUUUCUGCAUAGUACAUUUCCAAGUGACUCCCAAAGUUUUAUUCCUGUGUCCCCAUGCGCUGUUCUCCUUCUCCAUGUCUUCUUGUUAGAGAUGUAAAUAAAGUGAAGCAAAAACAAACUUCGGAAUAUA